rnacentral:lncRNA from 1 species
GCCAGCAGAACAUGUGUCUUUGUCAAAUCCAGCUCCCCUUCUAGUUUCUCCAGAGGUACAUCUAACUCCUGCGGUGCCUUCUUUACCAGCCACUGUGCCAGCCUGGCCAAGUGAACCUACAACUUUUGGACCAACAGGUGUCCCUGCUCCAAUUCCCGUUUUGUCAGUGACACAGACUUUGACCACUGGACCUGAUUCAGCUGUAUCCCAAGCUCAUUUAACACCCUCUCCAGUUCCUGUGUCAAUACAGGCAGUUAACCAGCCCUUGAUGCCUUUGCCUCAGACAUUGAGCCUUUAUCAAGACCCACUCUAUCCUGGGUUUCCUUGUAAUGAAAAGGGAGAUCGAGCCAUUGUACCACCUUAUUCACUGUGUCAGACUGGGGAGGACCUACCUAAAGAUAAGAAUAUUCUUCGAUUCUUCUUCAAUCUUGGU